UAACAGGUUUCUGUUGUGAUAGAGAAUUUGAUCCCCAAUCAAGCUUUAUUUAUGUUGAUGAUGAGUGACUUAAGGCUUAUGGUCUACACAUUCUAUAUUGUUUAUUGUUUAUGUUAUGGAUGGCCUAUGGGAUGUAAUGUAGUGGAUAGAUGAAUGGAUUUGUGAGAAAGGCUGGAUGGUAUAUUCAUGUUUAUUUUUAGUUCAUGAAUUUGUUUAAAAGGGCUGUAUUAUUUUCUAUGGAUCAUAAUAUAUGUAGUCAUUAUAUUCAUGUUUAUUUUUUAUUGUUUAUGUUAUGGAUGACUAUGGAAUGUACGAUGGCCUGGGAUGUAAUGUUUACUGAGAAAGGGGCUGGAAACGGGUUUCGAAAAAAAAAAAAAAACCGCAGAUUUUACCCGACCUUAACAAGACCAGACCAGAGAAGUGUGAUAAUUUGUCACACUUCCUACAUUGAGAUUUUUUCAGUAUGUUUUUUGCUCAUAUUUUUGCUGCCCAUUAAGCUGCAACUUAUAACUGUAUAUAUACUCACUUACAUGAACGUAGAUAAUUUUUGUUGAUCUCUCAUGAAUGCUUUUCUCCAUCAAAUCAGCUCCCAGCUGCAGCUAGUUAUAAUGGUAAGAAAAUAAACUGACCCAAGUAAUCAAGUCAGCUCUUUUAUUAUUGCUCAUUUUAGUUGAUAGGAUGUCAACAGCAAAUUCUUCAUCUUCUCUUGGUAACCGUACUUUGGUGAACAACCCAAUAUGCACUUGUGGCCAACCCGCUUCACUUAGAACUUCAACUACGAUGACAAAUCCGGGACGAUCAUUCUUUGGGUGUCCAAAGUAUAAUAAACAGGGAUUACCACAUUGCAACUACUUCAAAUGGGCAGAUAUCAGUGAGGAAAUUGAAAUAGAACGUAUGAAGAUCGAAAUUCUGAGGUUAAGAAAUGAGCAAGAGCUUCGAAGAAGAGAGGAAGAGAUUUUGAAGAGGGAGUUGGAAGUCCACAAUGAUCGACUGGAUAUUCAAAAGCAACGAGCAGACAUCCGACAUGAACGCACACUUCUUCGUAGCUAUUGUGUGAUUUUAAUUUUAAUUGUAAUGUACUUCGUACGACCAUAGUGAAUACUGGUCUGAUAAUGGGUGAUUGAUAUACAUAUUAAUGUAGUUGGACAAAAGCUCAUCACAUGUAUAUAUUAGAUCCAUGUGUAUGUAGUCACCAUAGUGACCUUAGUAUGUUGUAACCUUCUGAAUGUAGCUGGGAACUGGAUUAUCUACCUGGAGUUACAGAUUAGCUGUCCAGAUUUGUAUGUAUUGUGGAUUAUUUAUAUAUAGCAGUGUUCGGGUGAUUUGAA